ensembl:lncRNA
GAGUUUUUUUUUUUUUUAAUUAUUCCUUCAUAUUCAAACUUCACAAACAGUGUGAACUUGUACAAUACCUCGGAAAGUGAAACUUACAAAAAAAGUGCUGGUAACAUUUAAAAAAAAACAACAAAAACCCCAAAAAACAAACAUCAUUCUUAGCAACAUCAAUUACUCUUCCACACAAAACAGAAACCUUGUAAAAUUUAUUUUCGUAUUUUUAAGGCGUAAUACUUCCGUAUAAAGUAUAUGCAAGAGAUAAAACUUCACAGUAUUCCAAAAUGUCACAAUAAUAAUAAUAAUAAUAAUAUAGUAUAAUGAAGCGCUACAGUUAAUUUUUCUUUUUUUGAAUGUUUUUUUCCUGUUUAAAUAACAAAUACAAGUCACAGGUAAAUAUACGUGAGAAAAAUACGAGGCUAAUAUUAAAUGGCAGGUAAGGAUACUGUCACUGUAAGAAAAAACUGGCAGGAUGUGUGUAUUUAGUCUAUAUUUUAAAGCACUUGAUAGAAAAGGCGUAUGCAAGGUUUUUCAAAACAAUUUGUUGUUUGUUUGUUUGAUAACUGACAACAAUUUAAGAGUAUAAUGAAAAAAAAAAAAAGGAACAAACUCCCUCUCAAAACUAUUGACCUGCUCAUCCCAAACCACGUAUAUAUAUUGAUGGGUGGGUGGAUGUGUGUGUUGGUGGUGACAUGUGUUUGUACGGUGCACAGAUUGAUACAAGCGUCCAAGGGCCAUUGAGGCAGUAGUCCAAGGGGAGCUGGAAAAGAACAAGAGAGAAUUUUGAGACAGAGAGAAGAAAGGAGAAAGGAGGAAACAGAGGCCUCUCUUCAGCUUUCUGUCAUUGACAGUCUCAAGAUUUGGCUGCUUUAGGGUCCAGAACGGAAUUCAUUUGUCUUGGUCUAGAAAGUGCCCCCAGUUAAAUAUCUCCAGUUAAUCGUGUUACAGCUUUUGGUGUUUCCCUUUUCCCUUCCCUCCAGCCAAAUGAUUUUUUAAAGAAAUCACAGUUUUUAAAAGUUAUUUUUUCAAUGUUGAAAAACAUGGAAAAGCUACUGAACAGCCUUAGGCACUCUGCCUCUCCAUCUUCACAGUGAGCAGAUGGACGGACAAUCCACGGUGUCAAAGAUGAGGCAGGCAAGAUCCCUUGUGCUAGAGGGUCCCUUGCCCUACCUUUCCCGAGAGGCUGGAAGUACCUGCGCAGCACUGACAGCCGUUCCUUUUCAACUGGAUCUUCCUUCCCCCCACCCCCUCCAUGGAAGGUGCUGGGCUCGAGAGAGGCUGAGCCACUCAUGGAGAGUGAUGGAAAUAGGAGGGUCUGAGAAGCCAAGGGUGGAAGCCGUGGGGGGCUCUCUCCUCAGGCAGGUCAGCACUGUGCUCUCUGCAGCCUCGAUGCAGGAUGGGGAAAACGUGGGUGCCCGCUGAGUAGUGGAGGUCCCACUCACACGCACUUCAUGAGACCUCAACUCUCAGGCUCACCACCUUCGUGCCUCCGUUACAUCAGAGUUGGCCCUGGUCCUUAUGAAGGCAACGGAACAAGACAGAGAGGCAGAGUCAACUGGCUACAUCACACAAAAAGGGGCUACUACGGACAGUGGGAUCUCAGAAACAAAUUUAACUUUGGUUUUCUGACUUUUUCAAACCAUGAAAAUUAAAGCAGGGUUUCAGUGGCUUCGUUCAUCUGACAGCUGUGACAUUUUUUCUCAUUUGGCAAGGCUAAGGUGGGGGGAAGAGAAAAGGGGUUUCCCAUAAUUGGUCGAAGACACAGGGUGGUAAAAUGCUUCCACACUUAAACUCACAGUCCAGUGUUUUUGACAUUUCAUAAAUAGCUUUUUUUUUUCUCUCUAAAAAAAGAAUAAAACAAGAACAAUCCCUUUACUUACUCAUCUGAAACAAAAUAAACAGCAGUGGGUACAAACUUCUUCUUGUAACAAUUACAAAAAACAACAAUAUAAUCCCAACUUUUAACACGCAUCUUGAAUCAGUUAUUUUUUUUUUAACCUCAAAACUGCAGCAUAUCCUUAAGGGCAAACUUUUCGAUUAGUUUUUUUCUUUUUUUUUUUAAAUAAUGUCUUCACCAAAAAAACAGUCUUGUACCAAUAAAAUGCAUUCAAAAAUAGAAAAUAUUACACAACAAAAAUAUGUAUCCUUCCUUUCCAAAAAAGAUUCUUCACAAAAAAAUGUAGAAAAAAUUCCAACAAUUUUUUUCCUCUCCUAAACAUUAACUUUCAGUCUAGGGCACAAUUAUUUAUUGAUUUAAAUGUCUGCUUUUGCAUAAAACAUGGAAGAUGCAAAACAAUUACUGUAUUAGGUUUGUGAAGUUACAUCCACUCCCACCCCAACUCUAAAACAAAACAAAACCAGAAAAACCCAGCAAACGUGAAACAAAAGAUACAGUUGGUUGACUGGAUGAAAUCUCUUUCCUUCCAUCGUGCCUUUGUGUGGGUUAACUGGCUCUGUUGGUAUCUAGGAAUGCUCGAGAAGGGGAUCAGGGUGGAGUCAAGAGGUUCUUUAGCAUUAAAUGAUGUCCUAAGGAGUCACUUGCAGUCUCCCGUGUUUUGGGGCUUAUCUGCUGCAAAUCCUCAUGGAGAAAAGAAACACAUGAGGAUGGGCAGAGGACUUAACUGUGUUCAUAUGGGUACCUCUACACAAGCCAGUUUCUCCACCAUUGCACGUAUUUCCCUCCUUACCAUGGAGUUCAGGCAUGGGAUGAAAGGUAACGGAGAGCUCCAGUGGUACACGGAAGGCUGGGGCUAUUUCCUCUGUGGUCACUUCAUCCGUAUUUAACUGGUUUGGACAUUAACUGGAGCAAUGACAUGAUCUCAAAUCUCAAAGGAAUGCCCUAUUUUCCCAUUCCCAUAUUGAACCCAGGCAUCGUUUCUAUCUCACUGUGGUAGCUUAACGAUACAUAUUUCUUAUUUGAUGGUAUUUCUCUUUUGCGUGGGAUGCGUUUUGUAUAUGUAUUCAGUACAAAUGGAUUUUUUUUCCCCCAAGCAUUUUUCCCCUGUUGCUUAUUUGGUUGCUGGUUUUUUCUUUGCGGUUUUUGUUCUGUUUCGUUUCUGAUUUUUUAAACAGUGAAAUAUGUCCAAUUUUAUUUCCAGUGCAUUAAACACAUUUUAAAUUAAAAAAAGAAAUAAAACUUUCCCCUCAUCCUUCUAAAGGAAAUGACUGAUAAAAGUACAAUAUAAUAAAAUCAGGCAUUGCCAAAAAUAGCAUGAUGUGCAACCUCAAUUACAUCAAGAAAAACAAACAGACAAACGAGAAUUAUAAACCGUAAGCAAGAAGGAGCCAAGACUAUAUAAUCCCAACUAUGGUAUGAUUGGCAAGCACUGGUUAAAAAUAGGUAAGGCUACUCUUAGAUUUCUAACUCAACAUAGUUAACCACUGCUCUUCUGUCUUUUCUUUCAACUCUUAAUCUUUCACUCACUAGUUCUUUAUAUCUUUAAAAUGAACAAAUUUGUUUUUAUAUUUUUGGUCUACAGUAGAAUUACAUAUUAAUAAUAUAAUAAAAAGGUAUUUCAUUAACAGGUUGGUACUGCAUCCAUGUGGAGAAAAUAGAGAAAAAGCACUCAAACAAACAUAGCAAAUGGACGCUACUUUUACAAAAAUAACCACAAAUAUAAUAGAAAUUAUAAUCAGGGCAACAGACUGAACUGAAAGAUAUAUUUGGGAUAAUACAAACUCCUGAUAAGCUAUGCCCUAGAAUCGCAGCCUCCAAACCUUUCCUGUGAUGUCCACCUUUCCAUAGUAUCACUUGAAAUUCAAAUGGAAAUGGAAACAAAAUGAAAAUAAAGAGGACAGGUGGCUGGGCCAACCAAAGCUUCCAAGUUAUCUUAGUUGACUGGUCAAGACCAGCUGGAUAGCAUUUGAGAAACUGGUAGGCCACAGGGGAGACACUGAUGGUAUUUGUUUUUAAUUUUGGAGGAGUUCCCAGCCCACUGAUAAAGAGAGAAACCAAGGAACCAAAUAAUUCUUCUGGUAACAUAUAAUAUACGAGAUGAAAUAGAACUGCAAUAAAGGGGACAUGGGGGUGAGGUGGGAAAGAGAAGAGAGAGGAGAAAUAGGCAAACUUGGGGCACCACCAUCCUUUGUUUUCUGCAACACAUUGGUUCCCUUCUUUCUGAGCAUCCUUCAGUAUUAGCUACAGGCCCCAAUGUCCUGUGAGCAAACAUGCGUUGGCUCAGCUCUUGGCCUGACCUCUAUACUUAUUGGCUUUCCUAAGGGCUUGAUGGCUCCGGAGGCUCCCUGCCGCCACUGCCCCAUGCCUUUGAUGAAGCAGAGAAGGAGUGCAAAGUUGUGAUGACAGAGGCCCUUUACACUAACCAUUCCCACUUCACUGGUUUUUUCACACUGACGGUCCAGUGUGGGAAAAUAAGAAGGAAAGGAAUUCAUAAGAGUUGAGCUUGGUCAUCAAGCGUAAAGUUUACUUCCAGGAAAACAAAGAAAAAAACCCCCAAAAUCCAAGAUGAAGAAGAAGAAGAAGAGGGUGACAAUGACAAAGAAAUGGCAUCAGUCAGAAAAUACUGCUUUUGGUUUCUUUUAACUUUGAAUCGUCCUUGGUUUUUCUCUCAUUCAAUUGCUCCAGUUUAAAGUAAAGUUUAGAAUCUAGUGCAAAUAUCAUCACAUCAUACCAUUCCAGGAGCAAUACCGUAUCCCUUCAUCCUAAGUGAAUACUAUCCCUUCGGACCUCCUCAGAAGACUGGGGGCAAUGAUCCAGAAAAGCACAACUGAACAGAUUAUUAAUCUAGUACUCACUACAACAAGAAAGGCACUAUCACAACAGAUCAGCCUCAGCAUUUUCCUUGCCGUGGGCAUGGAUGUUUUAACCUCUCCAGUAACCACAAUGAAACCCAGACUGUGGCUUUUUCAGUACUUGAAUCCACUGGCCAGUUGUCUGACUUCCCCACUGGCCACUCCUCUUGGCUCUGGCCAUGCACAGCCCUGAUCUGCUCUGUGUCCAUGUUGCCCCACGUUUCACCAAUGAUCCUUGAGUGGUUCUAAAUGAUUUAGCUCACUCUCUUCCAUGGAGGUUUCUUUCUCUCCAUCAGUCUCCAGGUCAUCAUGACUCUAUUAAAGACUAGUUUACAGUGUCAGGUACUAUCGUUUAUUAUUUUUUUUCCUAUGUUUUAAUCCUCUAACCAAACCCUAAGUCAUAAAGACAGUUCAGUAGCUCCUCUAGCAACAAGUCUCUUGUCAAUAUCACUGUGAACAGAAUGAAAGCCAAAGUAUCACCCCCUGACCACCUUGAGCUUGCUGCAUUACUUCUGUUUGGGAGAGAGGAGGUUGGGCUCUGGAAAUUAAAAUCUUUGGUGACAAAACUGGAGUGGGUUUGCAAGUUUCAAGGAAGAAGUUAUUUUCCAAAAGCCUCAAGAGAAGUAACCUAGGACAGUUAAUGUGAAUGUAUUUUAAAAGGUCAAUUAUUUCUUUCUGUAACUUUGGUCUGGUAUAGUCAGUAUCUUCUCAGUGCUUACCCAACACACAGCUCUGUUAAGAGCUCUGAAUUUAGAGUUUCUUAUUUAAAAGGGAGAUAAUACUUUGAGUGCUUAAGGGAUUGCUUACGUUAGUUCUGAAAGCUCUAAAUGGAGUUUUUCUGCCUAACAAGGCUGACAGCUUCCUUCACCAUCUUUUAACUUGGAAAAGUAGACUUGGAAGGAUGCUAAGGAGGAGAGAGAAAGAGCUACCUAUCAAUGUAAGAGGUCUCAACUGAGAGUUUUCCCAAUUGAUGCCCCAACAUGACAGUGAUCAGAGAAACUCAACAUUUUACCCAUUGAUGUGGGUUGUGAUCCUUUCUUACUGAACCAGAAUCUUCAAAGCUGUCACCGUGGAUUCUGGAAGAAUCCUUCAGCAUCUUCACUCUUUUGUUAUUAUUCCCUAUACAAUCUAUUGCUUUUCCUGUGGUGAAAGAUUCUUUUAUUAAUAGUCACGAAAGAGCUGUCAAAUUCUAAUUAUUUCUAAGAUUUAGAAAGGCAAUAAAAAUAAAUCCAAUAAAGAAAAGUUGAAUAAAAGAAACCCAACAACUUCAAAACUAGGCUUUUAGGCACUGUUAAGGUCUUCUGCUUUAUAAGGGAUAGCCUAUGAUGGAGCAGCUAGCUAGUCAGGAGGUUUGGAUCAAUCCUCCAAUACAUCCUCCAAUUUCAAGGUUGGCCUAGCUUGUCUCAGAAUAAACCUUUUAUCUCACUGGUUUUCAAUGGUUAUUGCACUGU